AGUUUGAUCCUGGCUCAGGAUGAACGCUGGCGGCAUGCCUAAGACAUGCAAGUCGUACGAAGGGGCCCAAUGAAAAGAAUUGAAGUUUGAAGUGCUUGCACUGAAAAUGGAUUGAAUUGGAUUUGGAUUUUCCCCUUAGUGGCAAACGGGUGAGUAACACGUGGGUUACCUGCCUCCAAGAUGGGGAUAACAGUUGGAAACGACUGAUAAUACCGAAUGUGCUCUACGGAGAUAAAGAGACGUCCUUAAGUCUUCGGCGUUGAGAGUGGCUCGCGCCUAUAGGCUAGUGGUGGGUAAUGGCCUCAACCAAGGCAACGAUGGUUAGCCCGAACUGGAGAGGUUUGAUCGGCCACACUGGAACUGAGGACCCGCCCCAGAUCUUCCUACGGGAGACAGCAGUUAGGAUAUAUUUCGUCAAUGGGGAAACCCUGAACGAAGCAAUGCCGCGUGAACGAUGACGGCCCUAUGGGUGUAAAGUUCUGUUGUUUGGAAAGAACGAUAUAUAGAGGAAAUGCUAUAUAUGUGACGGUACCAUUCAAGAAAGCACGGCUAACUACGUGCCAGCAGCCGCGGUAAUACGUAGUGGCGAGCGUUAUCCGGAUUUAUUGGGCGUAAAGGGUGCGCAGACGGUUUAUUAAGUCUAAAAUCAAAUCUUGGGGCUUAACCCCAUUCCGUUUUAGAAACUGGUAGACUUGAGUAUGGUAGAGGCAAAUGGAAUUCCUAGUGUAGCGGUGGAAUGCGUAGAUAUUAGGAGGAACACCAGUGGCGAAGGCGAUUUGCUGGGCCAUUACUGACGUUCAGGCACGAAAGCGUGGGGAGCAAAUAGGAUUAGAUACCCUAGUAGUCCACGCCGUAAACGAUGAGUACUAAGUGUCGGGUUACCGGUGCUGAAGUUAACACAUUAAGUACUCCGCCUGAGUAGUACGGUCGCAAGGCUGAAACUCGAAGGAAUUGACGGGCACCCGCACAAGCGGUGGAGCAUGCUGUUUAAUUCGAAAAUACGCGAAGAACCUUACCUAGGUUUGACAUCCCCGGCAAAGCUAUAGAAAUAUAGUGGAGGUUAUCCGGGUGACAGGUGGUGCAUGGUUGUCGUCAGCUCGUGUCGUGAGAUGUUUGGUUAAGUCCAACAACGAGCGCAACCCUCAUCAUUAGUUGCUAACAUUCAGUUGAGAACUCUAAUGAUACUGCCAGUGUAAGCUGGAGGAAGGUGGGGAUGAGGUCAAAUCAUCAUGCCCCUUACAUCUAGGGCUACAGGCGUGCUACAAUGGCCGGUACAACGAGUCGCAACACGGUGACGUGAAGCUAAUCUCUUAAAGCCGGUCCCAGUCCGGAUUGGAGUCUGCAAUUCGACUCCAUGAAGUUGGAAUCGCUAGUAAUCCCGAAUCAGAAUGUCGGGGUGAAUACGUUCCCGGGUGUUGCACACACCGCCCGUC
rnacentral:rRNA from 1 species